GAGCAUGAGCCAGGGUGGCCCAGGGGCUCACAGGAAUUCCCCUUCUGCCCUGAGCCCACCAGAGCUGGCUAUACAAUGAUAACUUCACCCCCCCUCGCCCCCCAUGGGCAGCACCUGCUCCCUGGGUCUCCCCUGGUGGCCCUAUUAUCCCGCACCUGCUGCUUCCCCACCUGCUCCCUAUUCUUAGCCCCCUCCCCAUAGCACACCCUGUUCAUCACUAGGCCCAGCUGCCUGCUCUGACAGCCAGCCAGGAAGGGGUAAUAGAACCAGGAGAGGUAGCAUGGAGGGCCCAAGGACAGAGAGUCCAGAGGCCAGUCCAGCUCUGUUUGACUAGUAGUGUGUAUGCUUACAAUGGACUCCAUCUCAGGGCCUCAGUCUCCCCACCUGUGAAGUAGGAACCGCAAGCCCUGACCUCAACUUUCUACAAAAACUUUACUGCUUGGAAGAUCUUAGGCCAUCGUGUUCCAAGAUCUGAGUUACAGAGGACAGCCAGGAAAGAAGUGGACCAUGAGGACAAAGAGCGGGACAAGGGAGGGUGACGCAACCUUCACCUACAUGAAGAUGCUAAUGGUUCAUAUUUUAUAUCCUGAAGAAAAAAAUCAAAAGAACUAAAACAAUCCCCAUAGUUAAAACAGAACAAAGCAGAAAAAAAGAAUCACUUCUGGGG
ensembl:lincRNA Gm29208 predicted gene 29208